CCUACGGGGGGCUGCAGUGGGGAAUAUUGGGCAAUGGGCGCAAGCCUGACCCAGCAACGCCGCGUGAAGGAAGAAGGCUUUCGGGUUGUAAACUUCUUUUCUGCGGGACGAAGAAAGUGACGGUACCUCAGGAAUAAGCCACGGCUAACUACGGGCCAGCAGCCGCUGGAAUACGUAGGUGGCAAGCGUUAUCCGGAUUUAUUGGGUGUAAAGGGCGUGUAGGCGGGAAAGCAAGUCAGAUGUGAAAACUCAGGGCUCAACCCUGAGCCUGCAUUUGAAACUGUUUUUCUUGAGUGCUGGAGAGGCAAUCGGAAUUCCGGGUGUAGCGGUGAAAUGCGUAGAUGUACGGAAGAACACCGGUGGCGAAGGCAGAUUGCUGGACAGUAACUGACGCUGAGGCGCGAAAGCGUGGGUAUCGGACAGGAUUAGAUACCCCAGUAGUC
rnacentral:rRNA from 1 species